UACAGAGAGUGCAAACGUUGUUCGGAAUUACUGGGCUUAAAGCGCACGUAGGCGGUGUCGUAAGUGUCAGGUGAAAUCCCACGGCUCACCCGUGGAACUGCCUGGCAUACUGCGAUACUCGAGUGUGGUAGGGGAGAGCGGAACUCCUGGUGGAGCGGUGAAAUGCGUAGAUAUCAGGAGGAACACCGGUGGCGAAGGCGGCUCUCUGGUCCACAACUGACGCUGAGGUGCGAAAGCAUGGGGAGCGAACAGG
rnacentral:rRNA from 1 species